UCACCCCCAAAACGAACUAAGCCGCCCGAACACAAUAAUCUGUUUUCGGCUUCUUUCUUCCCGCAGCUUCCUCACCUAUUACUUGUUUGUUCUUUCGACCGCUCCUUGUAUACGAGGUUAGAGUUUUGUUGUGGUUCUUUCUCUUGCAACUGUCUACUGCGAUACUUCGAGCAAUUUAUGUGUAAGGGGGCCUUAGGAGAAUAGUACUCCAUUCUUGUUAUUGUCCGUUGCUUCUUCUGUUUUACUAGUGGUAAAUACUUGUCUCUUACGCUUGUUUGUUCAAUUGUUCAUCUAGCGCUGGGGUAAGGAACCUCGUCUACUCCUAGCAUCUUUGCAGGUUGGUUCUAUACCGCUUGUUUGCUUUAGUUCACUUGUAGAACUCCGCUAGGCAUAAUCGAAUUGAGACCUGUUCCGUUGCUUUUUGCAGUCUUACUCAUUCUGUUACUUGUUCGUUUCGUUCGUCACCCCGUUAGCGCUACACGUUAAGCUCCGUAAGCAGGUUUCGUUUCUUGUUCCCCACCCAUAAGCAUUAGCACAAGUAUAAGCCAUAAUCUAAGGUAAUCUUGCAUAUACAGGGGUAGGUAAUCCUCAAUAAAGAUGAUUUUCUUCCCUGUUCCGCGUAGCCAGGAAUUGAUUCUGCCCUUCGCCCUACCCUCACUUGAGACUUGACCCCCCAUCUGUUGAGAAAAGAGCUUAU
rnacentral:lncRNA from 1 species